rnacentral:rRNA from 1 species
CAGCCGCCGCGGGAAUACAGAGGGUGCGAGCGUUAAUCGGAUUUACUGGGCGUAAAGCGUGCGUAGGCGGCUUUUUAAGUCGGAUGUGAAAUCCCUGAGCUUAACUUAGGAAUUGCAUUCGAUACUGGGAAGCUAGAGUAUGGGAGAGGAUGGUAGAAUUCCAGGUGUAGCGGUGAAAUGCGUAGAGAUCUGGAGGAAUACCGAUGGCGAAGGCAGCCAUCUGGCCUAAUACUGACGCUGAGGUACGAAAGCAUGGGGAGCAAACAGGAUUAGAUACCCGAGUAGUCCCUGUCUCUUAUAC